UAGGGAAUCUUCGGCAAUGGGGGGCAACCCUGACCGAGCAACGCCGCGUGAGUGAAGAAGGUUUUCGGAUCGUAAAGCUCUGUUGUAAGAGAAGAACGUGUGUGAGAGUGGAAAGUUCACACAGUGACGGUAACUUACCAGAAAGGGACGGCUAACUACGUGCC
rnacentral:rRNA from 1 species